UCGCCGAAUCGCGAGUCGUUAGGCUCCGCGAAAUGUGGCGUUCGGGAGGGUCUUCCGCGACUCGGGUCGUCAGUCAAAGUCCAACUUGACAGUGGCCACAGCCCAGAGAGGGUGAUAGGCCCGUAAGGCGAUGAUCCGGUUGUGCUGACCUCUCUCACGAGUCGGAUUGCUUGGGAGUGCAGUCCAAAGCGCGAGGUAAACUCCUCGUCAGGCUAAAUAUGACCCCGAGACCGAUAGCAAACAAGUACAGUGAUGGAAAAUUGAAAAGAACUUUGAAGAGAGAGUUAACAGUACGUGAAACUGUGUGGUGGUAAACGGAGGUGUUCUCGAAGCGUCCGACUGGGACUCAGGCUCGGGGUUUGGGCUCUGCCUGCGUGGGGCGAUCAGCAAUGACGUUCCCGCGUGGAUCAGGGCUUGCCCCAGGCCGCAUUUCCCCAGUCGGUUCACGGCAGGAACCGUUGGGACCAAACCAAAGGCCUUUGGCGGGAAGUUGGAAGCGGCUUGCCGUUCCCAGCCUGCUNGGUGUCCUGGCUUCGGGCCCGACGGGCAAAUCUCACGGGCUCGUAUAACGAGUGGCCUUGCUGCUGCGGCCCGUUUGUCUCUGUCGAGUAGGUCGGCGACACCUCCGACCCGUCUUGAAACACGGACCAAGGAGUCUAACACGAGUGCAAGCCAUUGGGUGGUCUAAGCCCAGAGGCGCAGUGAAAGCGAAGGGUCGCUUGUCGGCCUGAGGGAUGAUGCCCGCAAGGGCCGCAGUCCCGCGAUUUCCAAUCAUCCUCGUAUGUUGGGAAUACGCAGAGCAUUGGUGUUGGGACCCGAAAGAUGGUGAACUAUGCCUGGCCAGGUUGAAGUCAGGGGAAACCCUGAUGGAGGACCGUAGCGAUUCUGACGUGCAAAUCGAUCGUCGGAGCUG
rnacentral:rRNA from 1 species